GCGGUCCGAGUUGUAAUUUGUAGAAGGUGCUUCGGGCGCGAUCCCGGUCCAAGUCCCUUGGAACAGGGCGUCCUAGAGGGUGAGAAUCCCGUACGCGACCGACGAUCAAGCCCGUGCGAAGCCCUUUCGACGAGUCGAGUUGUUUGGGAAUGCAGCUCUAAAUGGGUGGUAAAUUUCAUCUAAAGCUAAAUAUCUGCCGGAGACCGAUAGCGCACAAGUAGAGUGAUCGAAAGAUGAAAAGAACUUUGAAAAGAGAGUCAAAAAGUACGUGAAAUUGUUAAAAGGGAAGCGCUCGCAACCAGACUCGCUCGCGGGUGCUCAACCGUCCUCUGGCGGCGCAUUCUCCCGCGAGCGGGCCAGCAUCGGUUUUGGCGGCUGGACAAAAGCCUGGGGAACGUAGCUCCUCUCGGGGAGUGUUAAGCCUCUUGCACAACGCAGCCAGUCGGGACCGAGGACCGCGCAUUCGCAAGGAUGCUGGCGUAAUGGUUGCCAGCGACCCGUCUUGAAACACGGACCAAGGAGUCGACCAAUUAAGCGAGUGUUUGGGUGUCAAACCCGGGCGCGAAAUGAAAGUGAACGGAGGUGAGAGCCUUCGGGUGCAUCAUCGACCGAUCCUGAUGUCUUCGGAUGGAUUUGAGUACGAGCUUGGCUGGUCGGACCCGAAAGAUGGUGAACUAUACGUGAAUAGGGUGAAGCCAGAGGAAACUCUGGUGGAGGCUCGCAGCGGUUCUGACGUGCAAAUCGAUCGUCAAAUUUGCGUAUAGGGGCGAAAGACUAAUCGAACCGUCUAGUAGCUGGUUCCUGUCGAAGUUUCCCUCAGGAUAGCAGCAACGGGGAACAGUCUCAUGAGGUAGAGCGAACGAUUAGAGGCCUUGGGGUUGUAAUAACCUUAACCUAUUCUCGAACUUCGAAUAUGUGAGAAGUCCUUGUUACUUAAUUGAACGUGGAC
rnacentral:rRNA from 1 species